rnacentral:rRNA from 1 species
GAUUUAUCGCCCUGGGAUGAGCCCGCGUAGGAUUAGCUUGUUGGUGAGGUAAAGGCUCACCAAGGCGACGAUCCUUAGCUGGUCUGAGAGGAUGAUCAGCCACACUGGGACUGAGACACGGCCCAGACUCCUACGGGAGGCAGCAGUGGGGAAUAUUGGACAAUGGGCGAAAGCCUGAUCCAGCAAUGCCGCGUGAGUGAUGAAGGCCUUAGGGUUGUAAAGCUCUUUUACCCGGGAAGAUAAUGACUGUACCGGGAGAAUAAGCCCCGGCUAACUCCGUGCCAGCAGCCGCGGUAAUACGGAGGGGGCUAGCGUUGUUCGGAAUUACUGGGCGUAAAGCGCACGUAGGCGGCUUUGUAAGUUAGAGGUGAAAGCCUGGAGCUCAACUCCAGAAUUGCCUUUAAGACUGCAUCGCUUGAAUCAUGGAGAGGCGGGUGGAAUUCCGAGUGUAGAGGUGAAAUUCGUAGAUAUUCGGAAGAACACCAGUGGCGAAGGCGGCCCGCU